AGCGAACGCUGGCGGCAGGCUUAACACAUGCAAGUCGAACGGGCCCUUCGGGGUCAGUGGCAGACGGGUGAGUAACACGUGGGAACGUGCCCUUCGGUUCGGAACAACUCAGGGAAACUUGAGCUAAUACCGGAUACGCCCUUCGGGGGAAAGAUUUAUCGCUGAAGGAUCGGCCCGCGUCUGAUUAGCUAGUUGGUGAGGUAAUGGCUCACCAAGGCGACGAUCAGUAGCUGGUCUGAGAGGAUGAUCAGCCACACUGGGACUGAGACACGGCCCAGACUCCUACGGGAGGCAGCAGUGGGGAAUAUUGGACAAUGGGCGCAAGCCUGAUCCAGCCAUGCCGCGUGAGUGAUGAAGGCCUUAGGGUUGUAAAGCUCUUUCGUCCGGGACGAUAAUGACGGUACCGGAAGAAGAAGCCCCGGCUAACUUCGUGCCAGCCGCCGCCGUAAGAC
rnacentral:rRNA from 1 species